CUCAUGGCAAGCGUUGUCCGGCUUGAGCUUGAUCCUGGCUCAGAUUGAACGCUGGCGGCAGGCCUAACACAUGCAAGUCGAGCGGUAACAGGAAGGAAGCUUGCUUUCUUUGCUGACGAGCGGCGGACGGGUGAGUAAUGCCUGGGAAAUUGCCCUGAUGUGGGGGAUAACCAUUGGAAACGAUGGCUAAUACCGCAUGAUGCCUACGGGCCAAAGAGGGGGACCUUCGGGCCUCUCGCGUCAGGAUAUGCCCAGGUGGGAUUAGCUAGUUGGUGAGGUAAUGGCUCACCAAGGCGACGAUCCCUAGCUGGUCUGAGAGGAUGAUCAGCCACACUGGAACUGAGACACGGUCCAGACUCCUACGGGAGGCAGCAGUGGGGAAUAUUGCACAAUGGGCGCAAGCCUGAUGCAGCCAUGCCGCGUGUAUGAAGAAGGCCUUCGGGUUGUAAAGUACUUUCAGUGGUGAGGAAGGGAGUGUGGUUAAUAGCCAUAUUCUUUGACGUUAGCCACAGAAGAAGCACCGUGACUAGAUCU
rnacentral:rRNA from 1 species